CUCAAACUAGAUUUAUUUUAGAAAACAAAUCAACUUAGAGGCAUUUGUUCACACGUGUCUGAAUAGAAGGCCGUCCAAUCAGAUUCGAGGUCUUCACUCUGUAGUGCCAGAUGAUUCAUCCAUGAAUUCAGCAGCUACAGACUGAAAUGAAGCUCAUGCUGCCGUUAUUGAAUUCCUGUUCCAGAUCAAAUGUUCAGAGCUCACCUUGAAUGCAGCCGUCUGCUGUCUGAUAGUUUUUCUCAUUGUAGUCUUCAAUAAAGUCUUUUUCCUCAUGUCAGGAUGUGGUGAGACUCUUUCUCAGUCACUGCAGACGUCCCUCAUUGUGCAUCUCCAGAGAAGAAACAGAAAAACUGGUCACUGCUUCAGCAUCAAACGCUCUCCAGCAUUGAGAGUGUUUUAGGAAUUCAUUCAUUGUGUUGUGAACUUUGAAGGAGCAGAAACUUUACAGCUGCCAAAGAUAUGAGCUCCAAUUCUGGAUGUUUUAGGAAAUGAAGUUCAUCAAAUGAACACUUGAUUUUUGCUGAUAACUCUCAUUAAAUUACUGAAGAAAUCCAACAUAAAAACCUGUAAACUCUCAGGCAGCUUUUGUUAAAGUUUGUCUAUAAUUCUAUCAUCAUGUUCUGGAACCAGGACUCUGCAGAAGUUCCUUCAAUCAGAUACUUGUGUUUUGAUUUAAGGCCUCAGGUUUGAACGUACAGCAGAGGAUUAGAAAGGAGUGCUUUUAAUGUUUAAAUCAGUCCAGUAAAUGUUUGGCAUGAAAAUUAUUAAAAUUUUGAUUUAGAUAGAUUUACUACAAUACUGUAGUCUCACUUAAAUAUAUCCAAAUGAGUUCAGUGUAAUUACAUUUUAAAGAAUAUUUGAUUUCUUAAUCUCAAUACUGUAGGGUCUGACCCUAAAUAUUGUAAUAAUGAUGUACAUUUAAAUAAUAAAUAAUAUUGUAGUGCAGAGUCAUAAAUUUUGGACAGAAUUUAACACUCAUGUGUCCAUGGCAACGCUAAAGUUUCUGCUUCUUACUAAAGUUCACAACACAAGUAAAGAUUUCAAUGUAAAACUUCAGGGAUGACUGCUGACCAUAAGUAUUCUGAUCAAUACUUCAUGAUCAAUAUCAGGACAGAUGUUACAACUCCAGCUGUUGCAUUAGACUGCAGUUAUUCACAGAGAAAUUAAAACAUCACAUUCCUCAUAAAAACUAGAUGGGACUUUUAUUAAAUAAAGUGUUGGUGAAUAAACAGUGUAAAAAGUGCAAAGCAGCUCCAUUAAAUCAGGAGAUGUGACACUUCCACAGCAUGGAUCACCAUCUGCUGUGUUGAUUCAUAGCUGAAUCUCAGAAUGAACUGAGAUAGAAAAGCUGCUUUGAGCCGCAACAUUACGGUCUGACAAUCCAACACCAUCACAGUUUUCAUCUGGUUGUUUUGCUCCAACAUGCUGUGAAGUUCAGUUUUUACCUGAAUCAAUACAGAGAUUCUAUUUCCAACCAAGACUGGAAUAAAAAUUAGAAUGUUAUGAGGUUAUUAAUGCAACUAAAUCCUCUCAGAUGGAAGGAUUUACUUCUAAGUUCUAAUUCAAAUUUCAGUUGGAGCACAUUGCAUUCACAAAGAAAAACAGCGAUACCUUCAUAGCAACAUUUAAUAAACCUAAAGCUUCCCUGUUGGCUCAUUGGUGGAGUUUGUUACUG
ensembl:lncRNA